AUAACAUUCGUACCGUCGCCCCACCGAGCGAUUUUACCCGAUCGGUGGAAGUUCUUGCCUUUCUCGU
rnacentral:pre_miRNA from 1 species